rnacentral:rRNA from 1 species
UACGGAGGGGGCUAGCGUUGUUCGGAAUCACUGGGCGUAAAGCGCGCGUAGGCGGCUUGGAAAGUUGGGUGUGAAAUCCCGGGGCUCAACCCCGGAACUGCACUCAAAACUUCCUGGCUAGAGACUUAGAGAGGUGGGCGGAAUUCCGAGUGUAGAGGUGAAAUUCGUAGAUAUUCGGAAGAACACCGGUUGCGAAGGCGGCUCACUGGCUAAGUUCUGACGCUGAGGUGCGAAAGCGUGGGGAGCAAACAGG